GAUCCGGGUAGCAACUGAGGAUGUGCCUCAGGUAAGGAAGCCACUUACUUCUGAAAGGAACAGAAAUGAGUUCUCCUUCUACAGUUGUGAUCUUGAGCUGGGUGAGCUGAGAAGGCACUUUUCACCCGCCACGCCAACUCUUCAGAAGUUUGGAUGAAGCCAAAGAAAUAAUACGGACUGGGAUUCUGUGACCUAGGAAAUUUCUGUUUCUGUCUGACACUGACGUUUGUUCUAUGAGACUUCCGGGCAGUAGCUAAAUCUACAAACAGACCCAUGAACCACCAAAUGGACUCUCAACCAUAUUAAGUCGUAAGGCCAUUAACUAUGCAAGAUGCUCUCCCUCAGCCUUUGCUUCCCGCCUCCUCGCUUGCCUCUUCUGCCUUCUAGAACAUUUUCUACCAUCUCCACUUGUUCCUCACACCUCCCUCCCCUCACAGCUUCCCCGCACACCCACACCCUGCAGCCUCCGCCCCAGCUGGCUGCCUGCCACCUCCAAGGCUCUGUGGGCCACCAGCCUUCCAGCUACCUCCCGACUGCUGCCUCCGCCAUCACCCACAAGAAAACAGCUCUCAAAAUACCCAAAAGAAGAGCUGCUGGCUGUUAGAGUUUGUCUUGAAUGUUACUGCUUCUGAAAAAUCAAAAUAAACAACUUUUGAAAGCCCAUUAA